rnacentral:rRNA from 1 species
UACGUAGGGUGCAAGCGUUGUCCGGAAUUAUUGGGCGUAAAGAGCUCGUAGGCGGCUUGUCGCGUCGACUGUGAAAACCCGCAGCUUAACUGCGGGACUGCAGUCGAUACGGGCAGGCUAGAGUUCGGUAGGGGAGACUGGAAUUCCUGGUGUAGCGGUGAAAUGCGCAGAUAUCAGGAGGAACACCGGUGGCGAAGGCGGGUCUCUGGGCCGAUACUGACGCUGAGGAGCGAAAGCGUGGGGAGCAAACAGG